GAUCAUUAUUGAAAUAAACCUGAUGGGUUGCUGCUGGUUUCUCUAAGGAACAUGUGCACGCUUGUCAUCUUUAUAUCUCCACCUGUGCACCUCUUGUAGACCUGGAUAUCUUUCUGAAUUAUUUAGGUUUGAGGAUUGACUUCCUGUCUCUCCUUACAUUUCCAGGCCUACGUUUUCUUCAUAUACCCCAAUGUAUGUUAUAGAAUGUAAUAAAUGGGCCUCUGUGCCUAUAAACCUAUACAACUUUCAGCAACGGAUCUCUUGGCUCUCGCAUCGAUGAAGAACGCAGCGAAAUGCGAUAAGUAAUGUGAAUUGCAGAAUUCAGUGAAUCAUCGAAUCUUUGAACGCACCUUGCGCUCCUUGGUAUUCCGAGGAGCAUGCCUGUUUGAGUGUCAUUAAUAUAAUCAACCUCUUCAAGUUUUGCUUGUCGAGUGUUGGAUGUGGGGGGGUUCUUUUUGCCGGGUCUCUUUUAAUUGAGGUCGGCUCCCCUGAAAUGCAUUAGCAGAACAAUUUGUUGACCGUCCAUUGGUGUGAUAAACUAUCUACGCUUUUGACGUGAGGCAGUUCAGCUUCUAACAAUCCAUUGACUUGGAUAAAUUUUCAUUAAUGUGACCUCAAAUCAGGUAGG
rnacentral:rRNA from 1 species